UCUUCUUCUAUUGCUUCUGCUCGAGCACCAACAUCACACCGUCUCGCUAAUAUCAACGCCAUAAUCUACCUUCUUCUUUUUCUUAAAUCAAAUUUUCUUAUAACCCUCUUGUUUUAUCUCUACAGUAGAAUCCUAGAUCCAGGAUUUCUAUUUCUUAUUAUAGAGAUUAGCAAGAGAUUCCUUCGAUUAAUCUACAGGAUGAUGCGGAUUAAAAACAAAGGUAUGAAAUCAUUUCGAUUAAUCUACAUGAGGUUCUUAAUCAGGUGAUGUUUCAUCGUUGGUUUGAUUUUUGUUACAAAUUCGAAGUUCAGUUAAUGUUCAGGUGAUGUUCUUAAUGAGAUUCGUUUGAACAUCUUGGUUGGAAAUCGACAAUUUCUUUUACAAGCCAUUAGAAGGUGGACCAGCUAAAGAAUUACCUAAGUUUGAAUAACCAUUGGAUACUUCAUUGUCUGUUUUGUAUAUUGGUUUCUAUGAAAAGGAAAUGGAAGAGUUUAUUCUGCAAUUUAGUUUUAUUAAGCGAUCGGGAUAAGAAGGUUUGUUUAGCUUUAAUGUUUUGAUCAUGAACUUUUCAAGGCAUGCAAUGAAUUGGGAAUUUUUGCUCUUACUGAUCAGGGGAUCCCGUGGUCCCUACUUGACCAGCUUUGAUAUUCUGGGAGCUCAGCAUAUUAUUAUGAAUAUGGAAACCACCUUUCUGGCGGAAUCCCUUAUCCACCAAUGCAUUUGUCCGGUGGACCUUCACCAUAUUCCAACGGAUCUGUGAUGGGACAAGGUGGGAUGUCAGGUGGGAUGCACCAAAUGCCCCCUAUAAUGAUAGUUUUGGUUUGGGUUUGCCAAUGAGUCAUGCUUCUAUGGGCUCAAGGCCAGGGAUAUUUCAAGACAAAAAUCCUCCAAGAAAGUCAGUCAGUAAGCAUUUUUAAAGUUGUUAUGACCGGACACGCGACAACAACUGGACUGGUUCGUUCUCCCAAUCAGUGAAGAGCUUCUGUUUUUCUCAACUUUGGUCAUGAAAAAGCUUUUCAAUAAUAAGCUCAAGCCUUACGUACCUGAUUUCAAGCUUGUGUUAGACCACUUCUGCAUACAUGCCGGUGGAAGAGCCGUUAUUGAUGAAUUGGAGAAGAACAUACAAUUGCUUCCUUUACAUCUGGAGGCUUCUAGAAUGACCCUUCACCGGUUUGGGAACCCCUCUUUGAGUUCCAUCUGGUAUGAGUUGGCUUACAUUGACGCCAAAGGAAGGAUGAAGUGUAAAGCAAUCUCCAAAAGGUCCCUGGGAAGAUUGCGUUGACAGAUACCCUGUGGAAAUAGCCUUUAGUUAAUAAGUAUUCUCUUGUUAGAUCUCAUCUAGGAAAAGUUCCUAGCAAAAUGUUCUACCCAAUUGUGGGGUUUCUAUACUUUUAUUCGUGAUGUGUCUCUUCUUUGUUAUUUGAUCAUAAGUCAUGGUCUGAGUCUAUUCCUGUUAUAUUUGGUAGUGUUGCUGAGGUGGUAUGGGUUCUUGGAUGCUGUUCUUGCAUUAUAUUGCAUUAGGAAGUUUAUAGCUUGCAUACAACUAUGGUUGUAGUAUUGCGAAGAGUUCAUUUCUUCAUACCAAUUCUUAAUG